GGGUCUUUAGCUCCUUAGCCGGUAGAGCAGCGGACUUUUAAUCCGUUGGUCGCGAGUUCGAAUCUCGCAGGACUCA
rnacentral:tRNA from 1 species